rnacentral:rRNA from 1 species
AUUGAACGCUGGCGGCGUGCCUAACACAUGCAAGUCGAGCGGUAACAGGUGUAGCAAUACAUGCUGACGAGCGGCGAACGGGUGAGUAAUGCUUCGGAAUCUGCCCAUGUAGUGGGGAAUAACCAGCCGAAAGGUUGGCUAAUACCGCAUACGACCUACGGGUGAAAGCAGGGGAUCGCAAGACCUUGCGCUAUUGGAUGAGCCGAAGUCGGAUUAGCNGUUGGUAGGGUAACGGCCUACCAAGGCGACGAUCCGUAGCUGGUCUGAGAGGACGACCAGCCACACUGGGACUGAGACACGGCCCAGACUCCUACGGGAGGCAGCAGUGGGGAAUAUUGGACAAUGGGGGCAACCCUGAUCCAGCGACGCCGCGUGUGUGAAGAAGGCCUGCGGGUUGUAAAGCAC